GUCUAUGGCCAUCCCACCCUGAACAAGCCCAAUGUCUAAUCCUGGAAGCUAAGCAGGGUCGGGCCUGGUUAGACUUGGAUGGGAGACCACCUAGAAAGACCGGGUGCCGUAGGCA
rnacentral:rRNA from 1 species